CCUUUGAUAGCUCAGCUGGCAGAGCGGAGGACUGUAGACCCGCCAGACAUCUGCGGACAUCCUUAGGUCGCUGGUUCGAUUCCGGCUCGAAGGA
rnacentral:tRNA from 1 species